rnacentral:rRNA from 1 species
AAUUGCGGAUGGCUCAUUAAAACAGUUAUUAUUAAUAUGAAAUAAUUUUUUAUGUGGAUAACUUUAGAAAUUCUUCAGCUAAUACAUGGUAUAUUGGAUAUUUUUCAUAAAUGAUAUAUUUGCUUUUAUAUUUAAACAGAUUAAUGUGUUUCUACAUUAUAGAAGAGUCAUAUUAUUAAUUACAGAUCGCAAUAUAUAAUGUGGCAACUCAUUUGAAUUUCUGACCUAUCAGUUAAUCAGUAGUGUAUUGGUUUAUUGAGGCACUUACAGGUAACAGAGAAUUAGGGUUUUGUUCCGGAGAGGGAGUCUGAGAAAUAGCUACCACAUCUAAGGAAGGCAGCAGGCACGUAAAUUACCCAAUUUUGACUAGCAGAGGUAGUAACAAGAAAUCACAAUAUGGUGCCUUAGGGUUAAAUAAUUGUAUUGAGAAAAAUAUAAGCAUCUUAUCGAUAAACUAGUGGAGGGCAAGUCUGGUGCCAGCAGCCGCGGUAAUUCCAGCUCCAAUAGUAUAUGCUAACAUUGUUGCAAUUAAAAAGCUCGUAGUCGAAUAUUGUAAGUAUUCAAAUUUAUGUGGUCUUAAUGAACUACAAAAUAAAUUUACCUUAAUUUUAAUAAUUUAAUUUUAUUAGCAUUUAUUUUCUGAUAUUAAUAUAAUUUAUUUUUUCUUUGAAAAAAUUAGAGUGUUUUAAGCAAUCUUAUGAUAUUAUUUUAAAGUAUGGAAUGAUAAGUAAUGAUGUUGGCUAAUUUUUUUAAUUUAAGUAGUUAAUAUAAUGACUAAUAGAAUUAUUCGGAGGGAUUAGUAUUUUAUUGUUAGAAGUGAAAUUUUGGGAUCGAUAAAAGACUGACUAUAGCAAAAGCAUUUAUCUAGGAUAUACUCUUUGAUCAAGAACGUAAGUUGAGGGAUCGAAGAUGAUCAGAUACCGUCGUAGUCUUAACUAUAAACUAUAUCAACUAGGGAUUUGCAAAUGUUUCUAUGACUUAUUUAGAACCUUAUGAGAAAUCAAAGAAUCUGGAUUCCGGGGGGAGUAUGGUCGCAAGGCUGAAACUUAAAGGAAUUGACGGAAGGGCACCACAAGAUGUGGAUUCUGUGGCUUAAUUUGACUCAACACUGGAAAACUUAUCAGAUCCAGACAUAAAUAUUAUUGACAGAUUGAUAGUUCUUUCUUGAUUCUAUGGGUGGUGGUGCAUGGCCGUUCUUAGUUGGUGAAAUGAUUUGUCUGGUUAAUUCCGUUAACGAACAAGACUAUUACUUGUUAAUUUACAUGGUAUUAUAUA